UCGUAACAAGGUUUCCGUAGGUGAACCUGCGGAAGGAUCAUUACUGAGUGAGGGCCCUCUGGGUCCAACCUCCCACCCGUGUUUAACGAACCUUGUUGCUUCGGCGGGCCCGCCUCACGGCCGCCGGGGGGCAUCCGCCCCCGGGCCCGCGCCCGCCGAAGACACCUGUGAACUCUGUCUGAAGUUGCAGUCUGAGAAACUAUUUAAAUUAGUUAAAACUUUCAACAACGGAUCUCUUGGUUCCGGCAUCGAUGAAGAACGCAGCGAAAUGCGAUAAAUAAUGUGAAUUGCAGAAUUCAGUGAAUCAUCGAGUCUUUGAACGCACAUUGCGCCCUCUGGUAUUCCGGAGGGCAUGCCUGUCCGAGCGUCAUUGCUGCCCUCAAGCACGGCUUGUGUGUUGGGCCCCGUCCCCCCCCUCCCGGGGGGACGGGCCCGAAAGGCAGCGGCGGCACCGCGUCCGGUCCUCGAGCGUAUGGGGCUUUGUCACCCGCUCUUGUAGGCCCGGCCGGCGCUUGCCGACCCCCUCAAUCUAUUUUUCAGGUUGACCUCGGAUCAGGUAGGGAUACCCGCUGAACUUAAGCAUAUCAAUA
rnacentral:misc_RNA from 1 species